AAACUUUGGCUUGGUGUAUGCAAUUCUUUAUAAUUAGUUGGAUCUAAUGUGGAGAAUGUAGAUGAAAUUAAUACUUGGAGGGGGUUUCAUUUUAAGGCACGGUUUGGUAAUAGAUGCUAUACCUUUUGCUAUUUUGUGGAUUGCUCAGAGAGAGCAAAACUUGAGGGCUUCUGAGAAUGUAGAAAUCCCAUUGAAUAUCUGUAAAAGAAAAUGGGAGCUUGCUUUUCAUCUGUGGAUAAUUGUAUAUGUUUCCGUAAAUUGUAAUACUUUAUAUGGAUUUUCUUUUUUGGUUUUUGAUAAUGGAUAUGAAUUUUAUUCCUUUUGGACCAAAUAAGGAAGCUUACUAGAAUUAAUUUUGCAUUGGUCAAGUUUUCAUCCUUUUGUUUUCCAACUUUUAAGGCUUGUUUUUGAAGUGCAUUUCUCUAUGAUGAAUGACUACAUUUUACCUUGAUGCAGCAUUGGGAGCACAUUUGUGAAU
rnacentral:misc_RNA from 1 species